rnacentral:tRNA from 1 species
GGUUUAUUUGAUCAGGCAGGAAAAUUUGGCGAACUAAAAUUUCGCUGUCGUUCACUAAGCCUGGAGAACCCGGGUUCAAGCUCUGGGACGCGCCC